rnacentral:lncRNA from 1 species
UCUAAGAGAUUCCAAACUAUAAGAACUUCUAUAAAGAUAUGGCAAACGGGCCUAAAGCCCAUGGGCCGGCCUAGUCCGCCAAAAAAUGAGCUUUGGGCCGCAUUUUUUCAGCCCACAGAAAUCCGGGCCUUUUUAGCCCGACCCGUUCACUUUAAGCCCAAAAAAAGUCAAAAAUAGGCAUAAAACAUCCUCGGCCCGCAGGCCGGGCCGCCCCGCCCGUGAACCCACGGGCUUUGGGCUUACAUUUUCUGCCCACCAAAAUCCGAGCCGUUUUGGCCCGGCCCGUUUGACAGGUGUAAAGAUAUCCUAGCGUACUGUGUUUUAACUAUGUAGCAUAUCAUCGUGUACCAAAAUAGACCACGUUCCAACAAACAUUGGUCGUUCUUGUGCUUCCAUGCUCACUUCCAAUAUGGUUACUGCCCCAUCCCUGCUUUUCACUGAAAGUGGCACCUGUUUUCCAUCGCCUACCACCAGUUAAUACUGCUUAUCUUGGAGCACCUUCACCCUAAUUAAGCAUAAACCAUAAGCAGAAAGUGAAGCAAUCACCAUUUCAAUGUAAAUGUAGCUUUAUCAUUUUUAAAAGUUAUGAUUCCUGCAAACCCAAUUGUAACAAGUGAGAUCAAAACAUCAAUCAAUGCACUCUUUCCUGGCCUUUUUCUUCACUAUUAUUGCUAAAACAGUUUCAAUGAAAUAAACAACAGCCACAGGAAAAGCUGUCCAAGCAAGCCCACUGAAACAGCUUGCUAAAGUUAGGAUGAUGAAGUUCACCAUCGUAACAAUAAGAUUUAGAUCACUAAUCCGAUCAUUGACCCAAGCCUUGCACUUGCACAAAGGGAGAAUGGCCUGAUAAUCAAACAAAGACAUUGGUGAUCAAACCCUUAUACAAAUCAGAAUUCCAAUGAAGAUAGGAUAGGCACUAAGGCUAUGUUUGUUUCCAAAGAUUAUAAUCUCGAAAUUAUAAUCCAUGGAUUAUAAUCUCAAGACUAUUAAUUUUAGGAUUAUAAUCCCGAGACUAUUAAGCCAUUUUAUGAUCCCUUGACUAAUAGUUCCAAGUCUAAAUUUGAAAACAAACAAGAAACAACUUGGAAACAAACAAGAAACUUGGGUUAUAUUUGUUUACAAAGAUUAUACUUCAGAUAUGACUAUUAAUCACAAAUGUUUGUUUAUUUUUAAAUUUGAGCUUGGGACUAUUAGUCAUGAUAUUAUAAAAUACCUUUAAGAUGUGGGAUUAUUUAAAUAUCAUGUGUAUUAUAAUCCUUGCCAUUUGAAAUUAAAAAUUGCUAGACAAAAUUAACCUCAAUCUUUUUUUAAAAUGACCAUAAUAUCAUGUUCUAUCCGUUUAUCAGUGAAAAAAUAUACGAUAAAUUAUAUAAGUUAAAUUAAAACUUCUAGAUCGAUCGUAAUCCUGCAAUCUCCGCUAUUGUUAUUGGCCUGUUGGUACUGGGUUUAAAAUUUGUGGACUUCAGGGACGGAUGUCCUAGAAAAAAGAAUAAUAAAAUAAAAAAAAUGGACAGCUACUCUCUUUAAGAAAUUUUACUGUAUUUAAUAUGACCAAAAUUAUAUGAAUGACUAAUCACUUCGUUUUAAAUUGUUAAUUUUAUAAGUUUUGUCAAUGUAAAUUUAAAAAAUAUUACCUACUAAAUAGGACAUUUUAUGGAUUUAAAAUUUUCAAUAAAUGAUGCCAAUUUAUAUUUAAAAAAUGUAUCAAAUUGAUAUUUUAAAAGUCAAUAUCUCUUCAAUGAAAAUUGAAAAAUAAGGAUAGGCAGAUUUUUCAAAAUGUGAUUCUUAAAAAAAUGAUAUGAUUAUCUAAUUUAUUUAAAAAUAAAUUUCAAUAAAACAAUCCAAGACUAUGACAAAUGUUAAAACUUAAACGACAGUACUUUGAUACUUUCAUUAAUUUAAAUUACGUGUGUACUACAUAAAUUAUUUCGAUAAAAUUAUAACUUUAUUGAAAGUUAAAUUAUAUAAUUAGUACCGGUGAGCAUUUGAUUGAAUAAUAUACCAUUUAUUUAAAAGUUUCUAAUUAAUUAUUCAUCAUUUUUUGAUGAAAAAACAAAUUUAAAUUAUAGUUUAAAAUAUAUUAUUAUUGGUAAGGGUAUAAUAGUCCAAACAAUAUUUUUUUAUCCAAUCCCUUAAAUAAUUAUGAAAAAAAUAAUCAUGUCCAUGAGAUUAUUUUAAGUUAUCCAAUGAAUAAUCUCAUGAAAAACAAACAUGUGACUAGGAUUAAUAGUCUUUAAAUAAUCCAUGAAUUAUAAUCCUUGUAAAAUAAUCCUUGCAAAUCUAGAAUUAAUAGUCUUUGCCAUGGACUAUAAUCCUUGCAAACAAAAUGGCCUUGGGAUUAAUAUUCAUUCCAAGUUAAUCCUUGCAAACAAACAUAUAUAACCUUAAAUUUCUUUAAAUUCAAAUAAAUACAAAAUUAUAAACACUUUAUCCCAAUAAAUAAUUCAUUACCAGAUAUAUUUCUGCAACAAAAUUGAACUUAGAAAGUAAUUAAAAUUGUUUGAAGAUUUUUUAUUAUAUAUUUUUCAUCUAAUAGUACAAACAAAUCUUCCAAAUUAUUACAAUCGCUAAUUAGAAAUUUUAUCUUCAAAAUUAUAGAGAUCCAGUAAUUAUUAGAAAUUGAAUGUUCAAAAACACCAAAGACAAACGAGAGAGAGAGAGAGAGAGUACGUACGUACCAUAUCUGAGGGUUGUUGCCACCGUAGUUUCGUCGGAGACUUAGAUUACCCUAAGCCCUACUGUGUCACUCACUUCCCUUCUCUGUCACUUUCCAAGUGUAUCGCGCAUCUUCCUCUAAUCUCCACCAAAAAAUGAUUUAUAUGAUUCUGUAUCUAGGUAAACGUGUUUUACAAUUACUGCGUACGAUUUACUAUAGUAGUUUGAUUAGAAAAUCUCCG